rnacentral:rRNA from 1 species
GAGGGGUGCAAACGUUGUUCGGAAUUACUGGGUGUAAAGGGUGCGUAGACGGUAUGUUAAGCUUGUUGUUAAAUUUCCCGGCCUAACCGGGAGCAGGCGAUGAGAACUGACAUACUCGAGGAUGGAAGAGAGAAGUGGAAUUCCCGGAGUAGCGGUAAAAUGCGUAGAUCUCGGGAGGAACACCGAUGGCGAAGGCAGCUUCUUGGUCCAUUCCUGACGUUGAGGCACGAAAGCGUGGGGAGCAAACAGGAUUAGAUACCCUGGUAGUCCACGCCCUAAACGAUAAUCACUAGACGUUGGGUCGGCUUUGCUGAUUCGGUGUCGAAGCUAACGCGUUAAGUGAUUCACCUGGGGAGUACGGUCGCAAGAUUA